GAUGAACGCUGGCGGCGUGCCUAAUACAUGCAAGUCGAGCGAACGGACGAUACGCUUGCUUCUCUGUUGUUAGCGGCGGACGGGUGUGUAACACGUGUAUAACCUCCCUAUCAUACUGGGAUAUCUUCGGGAAACCGGCUCUUAUACCGGAUAAUAUUUUGAUCCGCAUGGUUCAUUAGUUAAAUACGGUCUUGCUGUCUCUUAUCGAUGGUUCCGCGCUGCAUUAGCUAGUUGGUAAGGUAACGGCUUACCAAGGCAACGAUGCAUAGCCGACCUGAGAGGGUGAUCGGCAACAGUGGAACAGAAACAGGGAACAGACAACUAAGGGAGGGAGCAGUAGGGAAAGUUCGGAAAUGGGGGAAAGUAUGACGGAACAAGGGGAAGUGAGAGAUGAAGGUGUUGGGAGCGGAAAAAAGUGUUAUUAGGGAAAAAAAGAUGUGUAAGAAAAAGUGCAGAGAUUGACGGUAACGAAUAAGAAAGCAACGGCUAACUACGUG
rnacentral:rRNA from 1 species